UAAAUUCAGCCUCCACCCUUUCAUCCGUCUCCUUCUCCUCUCCGAUCCUGAAGAAAGGUAUUGCUGAGAAGCAAAGCACAAGUUGGAAGAUUCAAAAUGAGCUGCAGACAAGUUGUGGCAUUGGAUGGUCUACUCUGGGAAUGCCAAUAUCUGAAACUGUUGCCGUGAAGUGAAUGGAAAUGAGUCAUGUGACUGAAACAAAGAACUCUGACCUCAUGCUGUGAUGGGAUCCUGGAGUCUCAAGUCUAGUUUCGCUGUUAAUUUAGGACCCAGUAGAUGCAGAAAAAGGAUUUGGUGUUGCAAGAUGGCUGACUGAAGCGCAGUGGAUACUGGCAUAAAGGAUUGGAACUAAUGUAGAGCUGUCCCAGUCAGGUGGCCAGUGAAUUUACAACUGCCAGUGUAGCUUAGAAUGAGAAAUGAUGACGCUAUCAAGAGAUGCAGUGGGGGACAUCAAUGAUUUAAGACUACAUUUCAUCUUGGGUGGUUACUGAUUUCUAUCAAUAAAAUUUGUGCACUUAUCCUU